rnacentral:rRNA from 1 species
GUAGGUGAACCUGCGGAAGGAUCAUUCACACAUGCCAAGUGCAUAAUCCAAGCCUUGAACCUAGAUUGUGUUACGGUAGGUUGGUCGGCUUUCGGUUGAAACUUGUUGUACUAUGGCUUCCUGUUUACAGGUCGACUAUCGGCAAUAAGUAUGUUCCGUUAGUCUAUGCUCCUACCAGAUUUAUUUUACUUGAUUAUACUGUUACAUUCAGUAUGUCCACGAAAAAAAAGAAAAUUUUCAACGAUGGAUAUCUGGGUUCCCAUACCGAUGAAGAACGCAGCGAACUGCGAUAAGCAAUGCGAAUAGCAGAAUUCCGCGAGACAUCAGAUUUUCGAACGCAUCUGGCGCUAGCUUGCUAGCAUGUUUGUUUCAGUGUGUUUGGAGAGCACAUCUCAUCACCACAGCGAAAUGCGACUGAGGCUGCGGCUUCUUUCGUGAAAUAAGAAGUGCGAGGCCUUGAAUAGCCUCCCAAACGAAGUAGUCACAUUGAAUGUGAUCUCGUUUCGGGGCGAAGGCUGUCAAGUAAUGGCGCUCCACUACCUCCUACUCAUCUCCUAUGUCAACACCUGAGAUCAAGCAAGAUAACCCGCUGAACUUAAGCAUAUCAGUA